CUUUUUGGUGGGGUGGAUGAUUGAACUUGUCUCGUUCUGGAUGUGAAAGAAUAAGAACUGAACUUGCUGCUAAUCCCAUAUCUUCCUCAGGGAUAUACAAGAGGUAAUUGUAAUCCAAGAUGUCUGAAAAAUUAGUCGAGGAGAUGGAGGAGGAAGAAGAAGCUGCACCUGAAGU